rnacentral:rRNA from 1 species
CGUGUAGGCGGCUGGAUAAGUCAGAUGUGAAAGCCCUGAGCUUAACUCAGGAAGUGCAUUUGAAACUGUUCAGCUCGAGUAAGGGAGAGGAAAGUGGAAUUCCUGGUGUAGAGGUGAAAUUCGUAGAUAUCAGGAGGAACACCGGUGGCGAAGGCGACUUUCUGGCCCUAUACUGACGCUGAGACGCGAGAGCGUGGGUAGCAAACAGGAUUAGAUACCCUGGUAGUCCACGCCGUAAACGAUGUUCACUAGGUGUUGGGGGUAUUGACCCCCUCAGUGCCGGAGCUAACGCAUUAAGUGAACCGCCUGGGGAGUACGGUCGCAAGACUAAA